GUUGUCCGGAUUAUUGGGCGUAAAGAGCUUGUAGGCGGUUUGUCGCGUCUGCUGUGAAAGGCCGGAGCUUAACUCCGUGUAUUGCAGUGGGUACGGGCAGACUAGAGUGCAGUAGGGGAGACUGGAAUUCCUGGUGUAGCGGUGGAAUGCGCAGAUAUCAGGAGGAACACCGAUGGCGAAGGCAGGUCUCUGGGCUGUAACUGACGCUGAGAAGCGAAAGCAUGGGGAGCGAACAGGAUUAGAUACCCUGGUAGUCCAUGCCGUAAACGUUGGGCACUAGGUGUGGGGGACAUUCCACGUUUUCCGCGCCGUAGCUAACGCAUUAAGUGCCCCGCCUGGGGAGUACGGCCGCAAGGCUAAAACUCAAAGAAAUUGACGGGGGCCCGCACAAGCGGCGGAGCAUGCGGAUUAAUUCGAUGCAACGCGAAGAACCUUACCAAGGCUUGACAUAUACUGGACCGCAUCAGAGAUGGUGUUUCCCUUCGGGGCUGGUAUACAGGUGGUGCAUGGUUGUCGUCAGCUCGUGUCGUGA
rnacentral:rRNA from 1 species